GGAUGCGAUCAUACCAGCACUAAUGCACCGGAUCCCAUCAGAACUCCGAAGUUAAGCGUGCUUGGGCGAGAGUAGUACUAGGAUGGGUGACCGCCCGUGGGAAGUCCUCGGUGUUGGCAUCCC
rnacentral:rRNA from 1 species